rnacentral:rRNA from 1 species
UACGAAGGGGGCUAGCGUUGUUCGGAAUUACUGGGCGUAAAGCGCGCGCAGGCGGUCCUUUAAGUCAGGGGUGAAAGCCCAGAGCUCAACUCUGGAACUGCCUUUGAAACUAGAGGACUUGGGUACGGGAGAGGUGAGUGGAAUUCCGAGUGUAGAGGUGAAAUUCGUAGAUAUUCGCAAGAACACCAGUGGCGAAGGCGGCUCACUGGCCCGGAACUGACGCUGAGGUGCGAAAGCGUGGGGAGCAAACAGG